rnacentral:rRNA from 1 species
GGGUUCGAUUCUGGCUCAGGACGAACGCUGGCGGCGUGCCUAACACAUGCAAGUCGAACGGACGAGGGGAGCUUGCUCCCCAAGUUAGUGGCGGACGGGUGAGUAACACGUGAGCAACCUGCCCUUCGGAGGGGGACAACAGCUGGAAACGGCUGCUAAUACCGCAUGAUACAGCGGGGAGGCAUCUCCCUGCUGUCAAAGAUUUAUCGCCGAAGGAUGGGCUCGCGUCUGAUUAGAUAGUUGGUGAGGUAACGGCCCACCAAGUCGACGAUCAGUAGCCGGACUGAGAGGUUGAACGGCCACAUUGGGACUGAGAUACGGCCCAGACUCCUACGGGAGGCAGCAGUGGGGAAUAUUGGGCAAUGGGGGGCAACCCUGACCCAGCAACGCCGCGUGAAGGAAGAAGGCUUUCGGGUUGUAAACUUCUUUGACGAGGGACGAUAGUGACGGUACCUCGAAAACAAGCCACGGCUAACUACGUGCCAGCCGCGGC